GCGUCCAUUGUCUCAGUGCUGAGGAGAGCCUUGAUCACUAAUUUCAUUAUGUCUUGUUCGGUAUUUUUCAGGUCCCCCCCUUUUUUUCAAUGUUCACCAACUUGCUUUGGUUUCUAUGACUUCUUUUAUACUGGUUGCUUAGCGUUGGAAACUUCUAUUUUGUUUCUCUGGUUGAUUUGGUCUUCAUGGAAUAGAUGUACUUUUGAUGGAUGCCCCUCCUCCAUCAUGGUACUCUUUCAGUUCUUAGGGCUUCUUUUGUGGAGAUUUCUCGUGCAUCUAGAAUGAUGGGUUACAUGGUGAAUACGGUGCAAGAUCUUCAAAUUCUGCCUACUUUUGCUGUUGCUGGGAGAGCUACACCUCCUCCCACCGGAAAGGAUGCAAUAUGGUCAGUAUAGAUGGGUCUACCUCAGGAACUCCAGGUUCUAUGUUUAAUCGCAGUAAUUAUUACAGUUAUUGAGAUAGCUUAUGGGCAUUUUCUUUGGCUGGGAUCUGACUCCAUGUAUGUGUUGUCCUUGUUAUCUCUGGUUUCAUAAAGUCCAUUGGCGUUUAAAAUCUCACUGGAUUAGGAUUUUGGAGAGGCUUCAGCUUAAAUAUUUUCGGGUUCUGAAUAUUUUUCAGGAAGGUAAACAAGUUGCGGAUAAGCUAGCUAAUCUGUCGUCCAAAAUCGGCUGGUGACCUUCAGUACACCCUUGGAUAUUUUGAUUUUAGUUGACAGGGACAUGCACUCUAAUGGAUUUAUUCGUGUUUGUUCUGGAAUUUAG
rnacentral:lncRNA from 1 species